CAGGAAGCUUCUCACUGUAACCAGUGUCUGUAAUCUGGUUCAGGUUAUUAAUCAACCCACUCAACAGGAAGCUUCUCACUGUAACCAGUGUCUGUAAUCUGGUUCAGGUUAUUAACCAACCCACUCAACAGGAAGCUUCUCACUGUAACCAGCGUCUGUAAUCUGGUUCAGGUUAUUAAUCAACCCACUCAACAGGAAGCUUCUCACUGUGACCAGUGUCUGUAAUCUGGUUCAGGUUAUUAAUCAACCCACUCAACAGGAAGCUUCUCACUGUAACCAGCGUCUGUAAUCUGGUUCAGGUUAUUAAUCAACCCACUCAACAGGAAGCUUCUCACUGUGACCAGCGUCUGUAAUCUGGUUCAGGUUAUUAAUCAACCCACUCAACAGGAAGCUUCUCACUGUAACCAGUGUCUGUAAUCUGGUUCAGGUUAUUAAUCAACCCACUCAACAGGAAGCUUCUCACUGUAACCAGUGCCUGUAAUCUGGUUCAGGUUAUUAAUCAACCCACUCAACAGGAAGCUUCUCACUGUAACCAGUGUCUGUAAUCUGGUUCAGGUUAUUAAUCAACCUACUCAACAGGAAGCUUCUCACUGUGACCAGUGUCUGUAAUCUGGUUCAGGUUAUUAAUCAACCCACUCAACAGGAAGCUUCUCACUGUAACCAGUGUCUGUAAUCUGGUUCAGGUUAUUAAUCAACCCACUCAACAGGAAGCUUCUCACUGUAACCAGUGUCUGUAAUCUGGUUCAGGUUAUUAAUCAACCCACUCAACAGGAAGCUUCUCACUGUAACCAGUGUCUGUAAUCUGGUUCAGGUUAUUAAUCAACCCACUCAACAGGAAGCUUCUCACUGUAACCA